UUAGAGUUUGAUCCUGGCUCAGGAUGAACGCUAGCGACAGGCCUAACACAUGCAAGUCGAGGGGUAACAGGGGCUUCGGCCCGCUGACGACCGGCGCACGGGUGAGUAACGCGUAUGCAACCUGCCUGUAACAGCGGGAUAGCUCCCUGAAAGGGGAAUUAACACCGCAUAAGACCACGCUCUCGCAUGGGGACGGGGUAAAAUAUUUAUAGGUUACAGAUGGGCAUGCGUGACAUUAGUUAGUUGGUGAGGUAACGGCUCACCAAGACUGCGAUGUCUAGGGGUUCUGAGAGGAAGGUCCCCCACACUGGAACUGAGACACGGUCCAGACUCCUACGGGAGGCAGCAGUGAGGAAUAUUGGUCAAUGGACGCAAGUCUGAACCAGCCAUGUCGCGUGCAGGAUGACUGCCCUAUGGGUUGUAAACUGCUUUUAUAUUGGAAGAAUUGCGCUUACGAGUUAAGCGUUUGACGGUACAUUAUGAAUAAGGAUCGGCUAACUCCGUGCCAGCAGCCGCGGUAAUACGGAGGAUCCGAGCGUUAUCCGGAAUUAUUGGGUUUAAAGGGUGCGUAGGCGGCCAUUUAAGUCAGCGGUGAAAUUUUGCAGCUUAACUGUAACAGUGCCGUUGAUACUGUUUGGCUAGGAUUUGGUUGUAGUGCGCGGAAUGUGUGGUGUAGCGGUGAAAUGCUUAGAUAUCACACAGAACACCGAUUGCGAAGGCAGCACACUAAGUCAUUAUUGACGCUGAGGCACGAAAGUGUGGGGAUCAAACAGGAUUAGAUACCCUGGUAGUCCACACCGUAAACGAUGAUAACUCGCUGUCGGCGAUACACAGUCGGUGGCCAAGCGAAAGCAUUAAGUUAUCCACCUGGGGAGUACGACCGCAAGGUUGAAACUCAAAGGAAUUGACGGGGGCCCGCACAAGCGGAGGAACAUGUGGUUUAAUUUGAUGAUACGCGAGGAACCUUACCCGGGCUCGAACGGUGCAUGAAUAUACGAAAGAUUGUAUAGUCCUUCGGGACAUGUAUCGAGGUGCUGCAUGGUUGUCGUCAGCUCGUGCCGUGAGGUGUCGGCUUAAGUGCCAUACCGAGCGCGGCCCUCGUCCUUUGUUGCCCUCCGGUCGCGCUGGGGGCUUUUUUGUGGCUGCCCCCCUCCGGUGUGGGGGGGGGGGGGGGGGCGU
rnacentral:rRNA from 1 species